rnacentral:rRNA from 1 species
UCAGGAUGAACGCUAGCGGCAGGCUUAACACAUGCAAGUCGAGGGGCAUCGGGAGUAGCAAUACUGCCGGCGACCGGCGCAAGGGUGCGUAACGCGUGAGCAACAUGCCCGUAUCAGGGGGAUAAUCCAUGGAAACGUGGUCUAAUACCCUAUAGUAAUUAUGUAAGGCAUCUUAUAUAAUUUAAAGCUUUGGUGGAUACGGAUUGGCUCGCGUGACAUUAGCUAGAUGGUAAGGUAACGGCUUACCAUGGCUACGAUGUCUAGGGGUUCUGAGAGGAAGGUCCCCCCACACUGGAACUGAGACACGGUCCAGACUCCUACGGGAGGCAGCAGUGAGGAAUAUUGGACAAUGGAUGGAAAUCUGAUCCAGCCAUGCCGCGUGCAGGAAAGACGGCCCUAUGGGUUGUAAACUGCUUUUGUAUGGGAGCAAUAAGGGCUACGCGUAGUCCGAUGAGAGUACCAUACGAAUAAGCACCGGCUAACUCCGUGCCAGCCGCUGC